rnacentral:lncRNA from 1 species
UAUCUGAAAGCAUAACCGAGUAAAAUAGUGGCAGUCUUCAAUGGUACAACACAUGGCAAGUAAGCUAAAGUUUUACUGCAAGAAACAUGUCCCAGGUGCACAGGUGUAGAACAAUGGAUAGAAUCUUACAUGCACAUGUUUAAUAUCGGAUGCGUCAAAUUGUAGGAAAUUAAUAGAAUAAAGGUGAAACAAAAAAGCAGGACAUCAUUGAGAUGAGACAAAGUAGAAGCUCCCCGACCGCAUCUCCAUAGUAUUUCUCUCAUUUCACUUGAACAACAUAAUCCUUCAGAUAGAUUUCUUCAUAUCUUCACAUACGCAUCAUUUGCACUAUGUGGCCAUAUUCUUCUUCAUUUCAUAUUACCUUGUCUGCUAACAAAAUUGAAAAUGAACUAUGAUUCCCAUGGUACAUUUGGGGAAAAAGACAUGAUCCCAACUUAGCAUAGAGAGAACCUUAAAACAACUAAGCAUAGAGAGCUGAUAGUCGUCGCUGUCUUAAAUACUCCCUCCAUAUCAAAAUAUAAGACCUUUUAUGUAUACUGGUUUGACCUACAAGAACAUCUUAUAUUUUGGCACAUUGGUAGUACUAACUAACAGAAAUCAGAAAUCAGCAGGGCACAACUUACCAAAAAACAAAAGGCACCAAUCUAGGAAUGGAGACCGACAGGCUUGCUAAUUAAUUAGUUCCUAAUUAAAAGAUCAGAUCACAUCCAUCUGUCCCGUAUAUACAGAUGGACAGCGACAACCAAAAGAUCAUGAGUUGAUCCUGAACACCACCAGUAGCAUUAGUUAAUAAACUAUGAAGGCCGUCUAGAAAGCUAGAAAGAUAAGACCACUGUCAAACCAUCAAAGAGACCUUAAGUGUAAUAUUUAAUAAUUGAUAAAAUUCUUAUAAAAAACAUCAAGAUAAGAGAAGCAUCUACCCAAUAUAUGGAAAUCCAAGUCCGUGCUAAACAUCAAGAAAUUAAAAAACAAAAGAAGCAGAAAACAUCACCCUGGAGCAACCAACUACUCCCUCUGUAAAUCUAUCUACUACCACUAUAAAAAGGAAGAGAGAAGUAGAUCCAAAAAAUCACAUUCAUCCAUCAUUAAAAUCUAAUGGCCCUUAAUUUUUCUGUGUUUAACGCUACCAACCACGCGUUAAGCCAUGAUCGAUCGAUCGCUAAUCUGCCCCGCGGUAAAAAAGAAAGAAAACCGCGUGCACGACCUCCUCCGCCUCCUCCCGCGCCUUUCGCCUCCCGCAACCGUGCCCUUCGCUGCAGCCGAGGCAGACGAGCCCCAUGAAGGGGAGGUCCCUCCAGGGACGGUGCAGUCGGCGAGCGCUGCGUAGGCGUCGGCGAGGACGUGGACGAGGGAGGUGGCCCUGUUGUGUGCGAUGGGAGGCAGAUGCCGACGGCGCUGGCGACGAGGAUUGAUGCCGACGGCGCUUGACGGCCCUGCCCUGCCGCCGCCGUCGGCGGUGGCUUGGCACCCCAGGACACGGCCUGGGUGACCGGCGGUGCUGGGUGCGCCCAGAAGGAGCAGGUGUUAUUGCCUCACCGGUCGUCGCUGCCCGGCACGCGGGGGGCGGCGCUGGGGACUGUCGAGUCACGGCGGCCGCCCCGCUUGGAGAAGCUGCAUGGUAGUCGUUGCGCCAUGCUCAUCUGAUGCCUAGACGACAAGGAGCACCUUGCCAACAUCCCUAAGACAGGCGUCACUAGCGGAUGCAGCAGUGCAACGUAACUCCUCCUCUGAACUCUGCUCUUCUUCCUCCUGUGCUUUGCUGAUUACACUCACUCUCUAAUCUCUCUCUGAUAUGUGGGUACAGCUUGAGCUUCAGUGAGGUGUAGUCUAUGAUUGUGGAAGUAAAAACAAGGGGAAUGUUGGCGUUCUUGGAAAGAAUUUGUUAGUCCAAAGAAAGAAAACGAGAGAAGAAAAGAAACUGAAAAAGGAAUGUAAUAUGUUUGUGUAUCUGCUGUAUAUGCAGGAAAGAAUUCAGUGAUGGUGUUUGGACUCUGCAGAAAUGCUUCUUAGUACAAAAGAAUCAAAGAAUCUUGUGCGGUAACGCGAUGGCGCUGGGCACAAGAAACGUUGUCUUGAGCUGUGUCUCCACAGCCAUGUCACGGCAGACCCAUCCGUCUCCGUGCCCGGGCGCUCUCCCCCGCUCCAGCGCCGCAAUCCGGUCCGAAUCAAUACCUUCCUCCGUCGUCGAUCUGCGGCCCCUUCAUGCUUCAUGCCCGUGGUGUGCUCGACAUGCCGCAUCGACACGCUGCACUGGUAUGUGUCCGACAGCGCCAUACAAUUUCAUAGUAAUAUUCAGCUUUGUCCAUGUUGCAAUGACAAUUACUGUAUAUAUAACUCUUCCCAUGUUCAAUACCGAUGGGCGAUGGCUGCUCUCUCCUUUUUGUUUUGUGAAAGGACCUCAGAUUAAUUAAACGUCCAGCCAGAGAUACAAGGCACCCCACAUAGUGUGAAUGAUUUACUCAAGUUUAAGCUAUCCAAGGCGUUGGAUUUUUUCUGGACAUGGUUCAAAACAAAGAUUGUACUGACAUAUAGUAAUUACAAAGCUUACAUCACAGAAUGAUAUAAGAAAUGAUACUCAGUGUAUUGGAACACUGAUGUUGGUUUUAGAUAUGCAGUAAGAAGUUUCCCAGGAAGAAUCACUUUUCUAAACCAUGCACAUUUUCUCACAUUAUGCCAGUUAAAAGGAAGAGAAUUAAGAACAUUAACACAUAUCUUUGAUGAAUAUCAUUAUACUAUGUCCAAUGAUAUACCAUGUAUACAUAUGUAAAAGGUUAAAAGUGACAAAUAUUUAUCAAAAGAAACCAUGCCUAGGAGCUAGAUAGAUUCUGGCCAAAUAGAUUUUGAAUAAGGGAGUUGGAACUUUGCAGUUGAUUUUCUACAUCAAAUUUGGUAGCCUGGAGAUGCAGAAGAAGUAGGCACAAGGAGGCGAACAGGCGUAGUAAAUUUACUAUGUGUUAGUUGUUAAAUAUAAGCUACAGGUCCAAAUGUUGAUGCUCCUGUUUACAAGUCGUAUGAAAUGUUUUUUCAAAUGCUUUAUGAUGUUUUUGCUUAGUUGCCUCUGAAGCACAUAAUUUUAUUUUCUCAUUUUUCUCAUAGUGCCUAGCGUUCUGAUGGGAUAUGGGAAGAGAUGGGUGAAUGACCUAUAGGAUUUAAUAGCCCGUGCUCCCUUGCUAUCUGCCUGCAACACAAGCUCAUACUCUACUACAGGGAGGCUGCGGUCAUACGAGGACAUCAUCAAGAUCUUCGAUCGGUGCAACCAACUGAUUGAUGUUGCUGUUUGGAUGGCCUGUAGUUCGAGUCAUUCUGGGUUUUCUACUGUUAUACCUCGCAUCUAGAAGAUCUUUGGUGGGUUUCAUAAUCGUAAGGUCAAAUGGCAUUAUACAAAUUGAGUGCUAUUACCAUGCAUGUGACUGUUCUGUUUGAAGUAAGUCAAACUCUAUUAGGUACUCCCUCCAUUCCACAAUGUAGUGCUUCCUCUAUCCUCGUGCUUCAAGUUUGACCGUAAAUUUAACUAUCAAGACUAAUUGCGGCGGGAGCAAAAAUUAUAUCAGUGAAUUCGUAUUCGAAAGAAGUUUUCAAUUAUACAAUUUUUUCUCCUGCCGCAGUUGGUCUCAUUGGUUAAAUUUAUAGUCAAAGUUGGACCUCGGGAAGCGUAGGCGCACUAUAUUUUGGAAUGAAGGGAAUAUGUGAUGUUUCCAAAUUGAAUAAGUAGAAGUGCACAUCUGACAUAUAUCUCGAAUUAAUGUUUCUAGAAAUAAUGAGUUAAUUUUAUGAACACCGAUGGGCAAACGUUUUAUCUUUAUUUGAUGAUCCAGAGAGAGGUCAACUUCCAUUUUUACUGUCAUUAACCUUUUAUUGCCAUCUUGAUAAGCACAUGGUGAAUUAUGUACUAAGUGUAUAUUUCAUGCUUGUUAUAAGGUCUCAGAUCAAUGUUGAUGCUCUUGCUUCUCCUUGUAUUUCUCAUAUAUUAGAAGCUGCUGGAAACAUUUAUAGUUUCCCUGGCAUGUUUAGCAUGUAGUUAUUUCCCUUAUUUAAAUGCAGAUGAAAAAUAAUAAUCUAGAUGCAUCUAUUUCUCUUUUUGGACCAGGGGAGUGUUCCCCGUUUGAAUAAUAAACACCUAGAGUGGCAGUAUUGCUAACGGUGAAAUGCAUUUAAAAUAUCUGUAGGUUGUACCAGCUUGAAGAAAUAUUCUAACUGAAAAUAUCUGCAUAGGUUAUACGGGCCAGAGUAUCCAUUGUCGACGCCAUCUUCGCUGUUGUACCCAUAUUUGGGGCCAACCAAACUGUGUAGCCGUCUGUCAUCUUGGAAGUCUCCAGACGAGCUCGUGCCCAAGAAGCUCCGGUGUCAGGAUAGAACGGUAAUACAUGCUUGUGCUUUAAAUAUAUGUUUAAACCAUAAAAUUGAUUUGUUCCUUUCAAUGAUAUGUCAACAUGCAUUUCCAAGUAUAUGCACUACAUGUUGCUAUCAAAUGACUCACUUCUAAUGCAUUGCUUCUUAGCUGAAUAUAUGUUUGUUUGUUAUACUUUUUUCCUUAGAAACUAUUGUUCUCAAGUGGAGAGUGGAGACACAAUUGUAAAGGUCAUCCCUUGUAAUCUCAACUGAAAUAAGCGGAUGUCUAGCUGAUGUUGGCAUACAUGGAAAUUCGUCUUGUCUUUUAUUGGUUAACACCCAAUAGGCUUCACCAAAUUGUUUUGAAUUUUGCUUUUAUACAUCAACUAGAUGCUUGUCAUUAUAUUUAAUUGGCAACAUCAUGUAAACCUGUGUACAAAAAAAAUCUUGGAAAACUCAGGUGGCAGUUAGCUAUGAAGUAUAUCCAUUUUAUUACAACUUGCUUAUGAUGUACUAUACUUGUCCAACACAAAACUCAAACUCACAACACAGGUACCUAAAUCAUAUUUGUAAAUCAACAUCAGAAAAGAAAAGGAAAAAACAGUUGGUUCCAACGAACAGGUCGAGCAGCUCACGCCGCUUGCAACUAUUUCUUUGGGUACAUUUUCAUGCUUCAUCAGGAUAGAGGGAGGCAUCACCAUUCACCAAGUCUAUGUAUCUUUCCCAAGCCAGGCACAGAUGAAGUCUCGUCUUUUUUUUUAGAAACGAUGUCUCAUCUUGUUGAUGCACGUGAAUUUCAUGUCCAUGCUUACUAGUAAAUAUAAGAGCGUUUAGAUAACUACUUUAGUGAUCUAAAUGCUCUUAUAUUUGUUUACGGAGGGAGUACAUAUGAAUGAUAUUGAUAGAUGCUUGCUUGAUUGGGAUGUGCACAACAACGUUCCAUGUUGAUUUGUCAGCAUUCUUAUCAAUUAGGAAAUCUCCAUAACCCAAAAAAACAGAGUUAGAACAACUUUGAGCAACCUGCCGUUUAGUUAUCACAGUUGCAACUUGCAUGAAACCAUAUGCUCAACAGAACCAGAUUAUCCUACAACUAAAACUCCAACAUCAUAGUAAUUCUCUGGGUAAAUUUUGAUCAAACAUUUCACAAUACUAUGAGUAGUUGCCACAGUUCAGGAUAGUGUGACACUUACCUGUCAAUAGAAUAACACCAAAAGUAUAGUCCGAUAAUUAAGAUUCAGGUUAUUCCAAGAAUAGCACAUGAACUAGAAGUCUAACAUCAUGCACAUUGGUCAACUAAUAAAACAUAUAUAUGGCUAUAAGCCUAUUGCCACCAAUGCUUCAUUGAGUUUCAUCCUUGUUAUGGCCACAUUGGUUUGCCCCAUACAUAAAAACUUGCAUACUCUGAAACACUAAGAAUAUAAAACAGCCAACACACACCAAGCAAGGUUACACAGAAUUAGAAAAUAGCAGUCGUGCGGAGACGAACAAUUUCUUUCGGAAUAGAACUCUAAUACCCUAUCUUCAAUCUUCAAAACCACUAUAUUCUCCAGAAAGAGUAUAAAUAUCCAUAUUUAGAAGUAGAACAAUCAUCAGCUUAAUAGUGGACUAUAAUGUCAUAUUUUUCAGUUCGCAAAAGUUGCACAUCUAAUCUACUAUGCAUACUCACAUAGAACAAUAAAUGCACUAUAUAUAUAUCCAAAUAACAACAAAUAAAUAUGCCUUUUCUUCACAGGUUGCAUGGCAAGAAUAUAAUUGUUGUGAUUUCAUUUAUUUUCUAAUAUGUUUGCUCACGCAGCAAAUACAUAGCCAAGCAUGCAUACAUUUUUGUUAAAUCAAAGGACUAAUGGUCACUUUUGCAUUUCUGUUUCUUUGUUGAUGCACUUUUUGCAUGAUUGACAAACAACCACUCAUCAAAAGAUCAUGAAAAGAAGUAUGUACACUCACCUUGCAAUCAGCCAACCUAAUAUGAUGCUUUCAUCAGUGGACAGAACCAACAGCAUUGACCAUAUCUAAGGCGACCACACUUUGGCAUGAAUCAAAUUCACAUCCGCCAAUUUUGACGGAGGGAAUUUGAGCAGCUGGAGGUGCCAUAGAUGGGAGGAGAAACUGGCUGUUGGGAUGCACCCGUCUGCAAGACGCGGCGGCGAUACAGACGACAUGGAUGGCAAGCGGAGAUUAAGGCCUCGUUUGGCACAAGAGGUUUUGAGGGUAUUUUCCUCGCGUGGCCCAGAAAACCUGCAAAACCUCGAGGCCCCAUUUGGUACACGAGGUUUCCUCGGCCCAUCCGCUCCGAUCCCCUCGUUUCCACGCGAUUCAGAAGCCUCGCCUCCUACCUCGCGGAAGCACAGGCACACGCACAAAGCGAGACCGCACCGCACAGGAAGGGAGACGGCGCCCCUCUUGCCGUCCCUCCUCCACGCCAGCCGGAAACUUCGCCCUCCCCUACCGUGCCGCCCCCUACCGUCCCCUUUUCCCCGCUACAACCAUCUGCGCCGCCCCCUACCACCCCUUUCUGCCCGGUUUGUUCACAUCUGGUUCCUCAAGACGGUGGCCGGAGGCGACAUGCCCGGUCCGGAGAAGCUAGAUGCCGCCGGAGAACCCUUGCCUUCCUACUGUCUAGAUGACCCCAAAGCUAGACCUAGCUUGUUCCAUCUUCUAUCUUCGUUUUGAUUCGAUCCUGGCGAGCCCUAGACUGGAUCGAUCCAUCUCCUUUUAGUUCCUAGUGUUUUUGCUUUUUAUUGAAUCCUGGUGGUUGAGUUCUUGAUCCAUGGAUGGUCUUGAUCUGUGCGUGGUUGAGUUCUUGAUCCAUGGGUAGUUGAGUUGUAUUUAUCUGUCUGACGCGUGUGCAUGUUUUGAUUGAACAGAAUGUAGUCUGGGUGUUUUGAUUGAACAUACUGUCCAAGAUUACUGUACAAUUUACAAAUAAUACUCAUAAAAAAAGUUUGGACAAAUAUGCUAGAACCAGAUUGAUCUCUUGUUAGUACUAAAUAUGCUUGAACCAAAUUGCUUGAGAUUGUUUUUACUAAAUAUGCUUGAACAAGAUUCGUCUCUUGUUAAUAUGCUUGAACCAGGUUUUGCGCCAUUCAUUCUGGAAAUUAUUUUUACUGAAUAUAUGCUUGAACCAGAUUGCGCGGUUAUGGCGGUUUAGAGGACAUUUUAUUUUUGUCAUGAAAUGUGUUAUCAUAUCGUUACCCUACGUUUGAUUCAUGCUAAUUAUGUAAUACAGACACUCUGUUCUAAUUUCAAUUUGAUAGGAAGAUGCCCUACAAACAAAAUGUUCAACUUGGUUGUAACUCGUGUUCUGUAGCAAGUGAAAGAUUGGAUUUUUAACUGUUUUGCACCAUGUCAUCUCUAUAUGGCAAACCCUGUCAACCAAAUGCAUUUUUAUACAAAGGGGAUUUUGGCUGGUGGGGGAUUGGGGAAUCAAGGGGAUUGGGUGGAAGGGAGGGAUUCACCAAAUCCUCUCCUCCAGAAACCUCUCAAAUACUCCUCUACCAAACAUAGCCUAAUGGUGGAGACUGCCGGGAGGACGCAACGUCCGUGAUUUGGGGAGACAAAAGAGAGACCAAGGGGACUGGAACCUCGUUCAGAAAAGGGGGAUUGGAACCUCGUAAAAGAAAAAAGGAAUUGGAACCUGCAGCCCGCCUCCACGGACGAAGAUGAAGGGCCUGUUUGGUUGGAGAUUUGGCCUGUUUGGUUGGAGAUUUAAUUUGCCAUGCCUAAGGUGAGGUAUCAGCCACACCUGUGGCGCGCCGCAGAAGUGUGGCGAGCAAAACAAACGCCAGACCUUUUGACGAAAAUCCUACUGGAGAAAUCACUAUGCACUGUGGCAAGCCAAACAUUAGUAUAGAACCAAACGCAUGCCUGAAAAGUUGUGGCACGCCACACCUUUGGCUUGGCAAGCUAAGGCUGGAACAGCCCCGAAAAGAUAUCCAACUACAACCAAGACAAAGAGAAGAGAAAAUAGAACCUGCUGUGGAGCAGAAGAAGCCGAUACGGCCGGCGUGGAUCCGGCAUGCGGCCAUCCAGAGGCAUGGCAACACGCUCUUAUCAGCUGACGAAACGACAGGGCAACCCUCCCCCGCGGCCACACCGACAACGAAACACGGCAGGAAUGUCUGCUGCCCCUCUCCUUCUCUCCCACAAGCGCCGCCAAAGAAAGAAGAUCUGAUGUAGAGGAAGAAGAAAAUGCCAACAACAGAUCCGGACCCGACUCCGACGAAGAAGCAAGCACCAAAGACCCCGACAAAG